rnacentral:rRNA from 1 species
UACGGAGGGUGCAAGCGUUAAUCGGAAUUACUGGGCGUAGAGCGUGCGUAGGCGGUUCGUUAAGUCUGUUGUGAAAGCCCCGGGCUCAACCUGGGAAUGGCAAUGGAUACUGGCGAGCUAGAGUGUGUCAGAGGAUGGUGGAAUUCCCGGUGUAGCGGUGAAAUGCGUAGAGAUCGGGAGGAACAUCAGUGGCGAAGGCGGCCAUCUGGGACAACACUGACGCUGAGGCACGAAAGCGUGGGGAGCAAACAGGG